rnacentral:rRNA from 1 species
UACGGGGGGGGCAAGCGUUGUUCGGAAUUACUGGGCGUAAAGGGCUCGUAGGCGGCCAACUAAGUCAGACGUGAAAUCCCUCGGCUUAACCGGGGAACUGCGUCUGAUACUGGAUGGCUUGAGUUUGGGAGAGGGAUGCGGAAUUCCAGGUGUAGCGGUGAAAUGCGUAGAUAUCGGGAGGAACACCGGUGGCGAAGGCGGCCUUCUGGACGGAUACUGACGCUGAGACGCGAAAGCGUGGGGAGCAAACAGG